AAAUUGAAGAGUUUGAUCAUGGCUCAGAUUGAACGCUGGCGGCAGGCCUAACACAUGCAAGUCGAGCGGCAGCGGGAAAGUAGCUUGCUACUUUUGCCGGCGAGCGGCGGACGGGUGAGUAAUGCCUGGGGAUCUGCCCAGUCGAGGGGGAUAACAGUUGGAAACGACUGCUAAUACCGCAUACGCCCUACGGGGGAAAGGAGGGGACCUUCGGGCCUUUCGCGAUUGGAUGAACCCAGGUGGGAUUAGCUAGUUGGUGGGGUAAUGGCUCACCAAGGCGACGAUCCCUAGCUGGUCUGAGAGGAUGAUCAGCCACACUGGAACUGAGACACGGU
rnacentral:rRNA from 1 species